rnacentral:rRNA from 1 species
GAUGAACGCUGGCGGCGUGCUUAACACAUGCAAGUCGAACGGUGAAGCAGGAGCUUGCUCUUGUGGAUCAGUGGCGAACGGGUGAGUAACACGUGAGCAACCUGCCCCUGACUCUGGGAUAAGCGCUGGAAACGGCGUCUAAUACUGGAUAUGUGAUGUGACCGCAUGGUCUGCAUCUGGAAAGAAUUUCGGUUGGGGAUGGGCUCGCGGCCUAUCAGCUUGUUGGUGAGGUAAUGGCUCACCAAGGCAUCGACGGGUAGCCGGCCUGAGAGGGUGACCGGCCACACUGGGACUGAGACACGGCCCAGACUCCUACGGGAGGCAGCAGUGGGGAAUAUUGCACAAUGGGCGGAAGCCUGAUGCAGCAACGCCGCGUGAGGGAUGACGGCCUUCGGGUUGUAAACCUCUUUUAGCAGGGAUGAAGCGAAAGUGACGGUACCUGCAGAAAAAGCACCGGCUAACUACGUGCCAGCCGCCGCGGUAA